rnacentral:rRNA from 1 species
CGUAGGUGGUAGUGCAAGUCUGGGGUGGAAUCCUAUGGCUUAACCAUAGAAUUGCCCUGGAAACUGUAUUACUUGAGUCAGUGAGGGGAGGGUAGAAUUCCUGGUGUAGCGGUGAAAUGCGUAGAUAUCAGGAGGAAGGCCUGUGGCGAAGGCGGCCCUCUGGCGCUGAACUGACACUGAGGCGCGAAAGCGUGGGGAGCAAACAGGAUUAGAUACCCUGGUAGUCCACGCCCUAAACAGUGGGCACUAGGUGUAGGGCUCGUAAGGGUUCUGUGCCGAAGCGAAAGCAUUAAGUGCCCCGCCUGGGGAGUACGGCCGCAAGGUUGAA